GGCAGAUGCUUAACGACUGAGACACCCAAGUGCCCCACAUCCUCACAGGCACGAGCGCUCAUGCGCACACACACCACUCUACACACACACACACACACACACACAUGCACACUGUCACCUCACUCCCAGUUUUCUUUCAUGAGUUCUGCAGAAAAAAGGAAAGAGAAAACACUAUCCAACGCGGAUACCUUGACAUUGACCAACUUCUAGCAGGGAGAAGUAAGGAGGAAGAGAAGAAAGGGUACCGCUCCCCUCCCUUCUGCUUUUAUUAAGCAGCGGUUCUGGAAGCCCUCCUUCCUUCGCCUCCGCACAUUUCAUCUUGCACAUCCUUGGCUGGAGCCCAGAGGGUCACACCUAGCUGCAGAGAGGCUGGCCGAAGUCGUCUUUUCAGCUGGGCACAAAUAAUACUGCCCUUCGCUCCGGGAAGAGAGGAGACUGGAUAUCUGAUGGGAGCCUGAGGGCCAGUUCCUGCCAACAGUAGAUGCUUUACAACAAGCAGUGAUUAUAGCUCUAAUGAAACCACAAAUAAAUGCUUCCUAUUUUUACUGAG